UCUCUCUCUCUCUCUCUCUCUCUCUCUCUCACCUCUCUCCUCGCUACUGCGAUUAGUCGUGGAAUCUAGAAAUCCCGAGCUCUUUCGCGGCUGUGAGCUCUGUUUCAGCUCGGAGAGCGAAGAAUCGUCUUAUAUUAUACCGGUAUGGUAGUGGAAGCGGAGAAAAUGGAGAAGUUGGUGCGUCGGCAGACCAGAUCGACGCGCGAAAAAGAGAAACACCCCCACCUACCAAAGAUCAACGGUACCAGUAGUACUGAUCCGGCUGGACAAUCAGAAGAGAAGCGGAGGGGGUGUCGAGGUUCUCGACAGACUCGUCGGUGAGCUCAGCGCUAGUUGCCGAAGCCAUGGCGAUGAGACAAGCAGUAAAAGAAAGCUGGAUACUGAGCCAUAAGAGACUGAGAUGCGAAGCUGACUCUGCUCAACUAAUCAAAGCAAUCAAUGGUAAUGAAGUUCCCUUGGAGAUUUAUGGCAUUGUUGCCGACAUCCUAGACUAUUCCUUUAGUUUUGAAGCUUAUAGUUUUUGUUUGGAUUCCUAGAGAAAAGAACCUUGUUGCUGAUGGUUUAGCAAAACAGGGUUUUGUUAUGGUUGAGGCUUUAAUGGCCAACACCUAACUCUUGCUAUGGUUAUUAAUAUGAAUGUGUUUCAAAAAAAAAAAAUAGUAGUACUGAUCUGUCUAUGGUAGCUCUAAUUUUGAACUUAUAAACCCACGUUCUGUAUUUGUUAUUUAUGUGAAAGUAACAAUCGUUUCUAGUGCUUUAAGUUUUUAAUCUUUGUUAGUCUAACUACUUUCA